rnacentral:rRNA from 1 species
UGAAACAUCUUCGGGUUGUGAGGUUAAGCGACUAAGCGUACACGGUGGAUGCCCUGGCAGUCAGAGGCGAUGAAGGACGUGCUAAUCUGCGAUAAGCGUCGGUGAGGUGAUAUGAACCGUUAUAACCGGCGAUUUCCGAAUGGGGAAACCCAGUGUGUUUCGACACACUAUCAUUAACUGAAUCCAUAGGUUAAUGAGGCGAACCGGGGGAACUGAAACAUCUAAGUACCCCGAGGAAAAGAAAUCAACCGAGAUUCCCCCAGUAGCGGCGAGCGAACGGGGAGGAGCCCAGAGCCUGAAUCAGUGUGUGUGUUAGUGGAAGCGUCUGGAAAGGCGUGCGAUACAGGGUGACAGCCCCGUACACAAAAAUGCACAUAUUGUGAGCUCGAUGAGUAGGGCGGGACACGUGGUAUCCUGUCUGAAUAUGGGGGGACCAUCCUCCAAGGCUAAAUACUCCUGACUGACCGAUAGUGAACCAGUACCGUGAGGGAAAGGCGAAAAGAACCCCGGCGAGGGGAGUGAAAAAGAACCUGAAACCGUGUACGUACAAGCAGUGGGAGCCUCUUAAUGGGGUGACUGCGUACCUUUUGUAUAAUGGGUCAGCGACUUAUAUUCUGUAGCAAGGUUAACCGAAUAGGGGAGCCGAAGGGAAACCGAGUCUUAACUGGGCGUUAAGUUGCAGGGUAUAGACCCGAAACCCGGUGAUCUAGCCAUGGGCAGGUUGAAGGUUGGGUAACACUAACUGGAGGACCGAACCGACUAAUGUUGAAAAAUUAGCGGAUGACUUGUGGCUGGGGGUGAAAGGCCAAUCAAACCGGGAGAUAGCUGGUUCUCCCCGAAAGCUAUUUAGGUAGCGCCUCGUGAAUUCAUCUCCGGGGGUAGAGCACUGUUUCGGCAAGGGGGUCAUCCCGACUUACCAACCCGAUGCAAACUGCGAAUACCGGAGAAUGUUAUCACGGGAGACACACGGCGGGUGCUAACGUCCGUCGUGAAGAGGGAAACAACCCAGACCGCCAGCUAAGGUCCCAAAGUCAUGGUUAAGUGGGAAACGAUGUGGGAAGGCCCAGACAGCCAGGAUGUUGGCUUAGAAGCAGCCAUCAUUUAAAGAAAGCGUAAUAGCUCACUGGUCGAGUCGGCCUGCGCGGAAGAUGUAACGGGGCUAAACCAUGCACCGAAGCUGCGGCAGCGACACUAUGUGUUGUUGGGUAGGGGAGCGUUCUGUAAGCCUGUGAAGGUGGCCUGUGAGGGUUGCUGGAGGUAUCAGAAGUGCGAAUGCUGACAUAAGUAACGAUAAAGCGGGUGAAAAGCCCGCUCGCCGGAAGACCAAGGGUUCCUGUCCAACGUUAAUCGGGGCAGGGUGAGUCGACCCCUAAGGCGAGGCCGAAAGGCGUAGUCGAUGGGAAACAGGUUAAUAUUCCUGUACUUGGUGUUACUGCGAAGGGGGGACGGAGAAGGCUAUGUUGGCCGGGCGACGGUUGUCCCGGUUUAAGCGUGUAGGCUGGUUUUCCAGGCAAAUCCGGAAAACCAAGGCUGAGGCGUGAUGACGAGGCACUACGGUGCUGAAGCGACAAAUGCCCUGCUUCCAGGAAAAGCCUCUAAGCAUCAGGUAACAUCAAAUCGUACCCCAAACCGACACAGGUGGUCAGGUAGAGAAUACCAAGGCGCUUGAGAGAACUCGGGUGAAGGAACUAGGCAAAAUGGUGCCGUAACUUCGGGAGAAGGCACGCUGAUAUGUAGGUGAAGCGACUUGCUCGUGGAGCUGAAAUCAGUCGAAGAUACCAGCUGGCUGCAACUGUUUAUUAAAAACACAGCACUGUGCAAACACGAAAGUGGACGUAUACGGUGUGACGCCUGCCCGGUGCCGGAAGGUUAAUUGAUGGGGUUAGCGGUAACGCGAAGCUCUUGAUCGAAGCCCCGGUAAACGGCGGCCGUAACUAUAACGGUCCUAAGGUAGCGAAAUUCCUUGUCGGGUAAGUUCCGACCUGCACGAAUGGCGUAAUGAUGGCCAGGCUGUCUCCACCCGAGACUCAGUGAAAUUGAACUCGCUGUGAAGAUGCAGUGUACCCGCGGCAAGACGGAAAGACCCCGUGAACCUUUACUAUAGCUUGACACUGAACAUUGAGCCUUGAUGUGUAGGAUAGGUGGGAGGCUUUGAAGUGUGGACGCCAGUCUGCAUGGAGCCGACCUUGAAAUACCACCCUUUAAUGUUUGAUGUUCUAACGUUGGCCCGUAAUCCGGGUUGCGGACAGUGUCUGGUGGGUAGUUUGACUGGGGCGGUCUCCUCCUAAAGAGUAACGGAGGAGCACGAAGGUUGGCUAAUCCUGGUCGGACAUCAGGAGGUUAGUGCAAUGGCAUAAGCCAGCUUGACUGCGAGCGUGACGGCGCGAGCAGGUGCGAAAGCAGGUCAUAGUGAUCCGGUGGUUCUGAAUGGAAGGGCCAUCGCUCAACGGAUAAAAGGUACUCCGGGGAUAACAGGCUGAUACCGCCCAAGAGUUCAUAUCGACGGCGGUGUUUGGCACCUCGAUGUCGGCUCAUCACAUCCUGGGGCUGAAGUAGGUCCCAAGGGUAUGGCUGUUCGCCAUUUAAAGUGGUACGCGAGCUGGGUUUAGAACGUCGUGAGACAGUUCGGUCCCUAUCUGCCGUGGGCGCUGGAGAACUGAGGGGGGCUGCUCCUAGUACGAGAGGACCGGAGUGGACGCAUCACUGGUGUUCGGGUUGUCAUGCCAAUGGCACUGCCCGGUAGCUAAAUGCGGAAGAGAUAAGUGCUGAAAGCAUCUAAGCACGAAACUUGCCCCGAGAUGAGUUCUCCCUGAGACUUAGAGUCUCCUGAAGGAACGUUGAAGACGACGACGUUGAUAGGCCGGGUGUGUAAGCGCAGCGAUGCGUUGAGCUAACCGGUACUAAUGAACCGUGAGGCUUAACCUU